rnacentral:rRNA from 1 species
GUGGAUUAGAUACCCUAGUAGUCCACGCCGUAAACGUUGGGAACUAGGUGUGGGUCUCAUUCCACGAGAUCUGUGCCGCAGCUAACGCAUUAAGUUCCCCGCCUGGGGAGUACGGCCGCAAGGCUAAAACUCAAAGGAAUUGACGGGGGCCCGCACAAGCGGCGGAGCAUGUGGAUUAAUUCGAUGCAACGCGAAGAACCUUACCAAGGCUUGACAUACACCGGUAACGCUCAGAGAUGGGUGCCCCGUAAGGUCGGUGUACAGGUGGUGCAUGGCUGUCGCCAACU